rnacentral:lncRNA from 1 species
UCGUCCCCACCCGUCUCGCGGCUUCUGGGGGGCGCGGAAAGCACCCUGACUGCGGUAGUCUCCCACAAAGAUUUAGAAUCCUGUAGGAAUUCCGUAGCCGCCACCUCCGUGAAUCCUCGGACCUGUCUGGUGGCACUGUUCGACACUGAAAACGUAGGGUGCCGCCGCAUACCGGCCAGAGGGGUUUUGAUUUCUUGGAAUCGAGGAGUCUACCGGUGCCUAUUGGAAAAAAAAAAUUUUUUUUAAAGAAAGAAAGAAAAAGAUAAAGCUCCUCGACAGCCCCCUGCCCUUGUACUGCCCCUUCAUUCGCAGCCCUUCUGCCAGGAGAGGGCUACUAAGUACCUUGAGAAGUUCACUCCCUGGUUAUAUGCCAAAAAAAAAAAAGCUUCUGAGCAGUUUGGCAAAGACCAGGAAGAGGAAUUUAUCCCCAUCCCCAAAUCACCCGAACUUCCAGCGCCCUCCCUUCCUUUUUACUUUCUAAUAUCCCUGUCUUCCAAAUUCGUACUGUAGGGUUUUCUUUUUUGUUUGUUUUUGCCACGCUAGGGAUGGAACCCAGGGCCGCAUGCGUGCUAGGCAAGUGCUUUACCACUGAACUACACCCCUAGUUCCAGGAGUUAUUUUUAUUGACCCUUGGGCAAAGGUAGAAAACACUUAAAAACACGAGAUUCCUCUCACUCUCUCAUUCUCCACAAACUCCAACUCCUCCUUUUCAGUCUCAUACUUAAAAAACAACAACAACAACAACAAAACCCUCAAUUGUAAUGAAAUCAACCUAAAGCUGCAUCACUUCUGUUGGUGGGAGUAGAAGAUAAAUAUAACUGACACCCCCCCCCCCUUCAUGGCAGCAUAAUUGGUUUGUUACUAACCCUCUGAGAACAGAGCAGCAGGCUAAUCUGGGCGCUCAGGAGACCCCAAUGGGCCCUGCACCCUGAGAGUGAGCUCCCAGAGAGGACUCUGGAAAGGCCACCCACGAUGAAGCAGGUGGAGGGAUUUUCUUCUCUGGUUCAACCAGCAGCCCCCUAGAACCUGACUGAACCAUCUUCUCAUGCUGGUUGGACACCCUUAAGAAUGUCCUCUCCUUUACCCUCAUUUGUUCCUUUACAAGUAGGCACUGUCUACAUUCUUGGUACUAUGCAUGACAGUUCUCACUCACAUAGGACAGCAUACUCACAGGACCUAAAAAGUAACAUUAAAGGAGUCAAAGUAAAAGUACUUGUUUUUAUUAACUACUUAAAGGCUUAAGCUUCAAGUAGUUAAUAAAAACAUCAGAAGUGGUGAAUUCUUCAGAGAGCACAGAGAUAGGGAAGUGGGGAUCAGGGAGGCUUCUUGGAGGAGGGGGCUGUUGAGAUUUUACAGAAGUGUAAGGAAGGAGUUCAGAUUGGGAGAGGAGGAGAGCAGGCCAGCUCUACUGUGAAUGGCUGAGUGGAAGCCACAUGCACAUGGGGUGUACAUGCAGGUAGAUAUUAAGGAUCCAGAAGACGGCAGAAUUUGGGAGAAUUAACCUAAAGCAGGGAAACAUCCUUUAUAAUAUAAUGGAGACUAGCCUUCAAAAUACUUUUGCAAUGAUAUCCUCCCUCAUUUUUCAAAUAAG